rnacentral:rRNA from 1 species
AGAGUUUGAUCCUGGCUCAGGAUGAACGCUAGCGACAGGCUUAACACAUGCAAGUCGAGGGGCAGCACAGGUAGCAAUACCGGGUGGCGACCGGCGCACGGGUGAGUAACGCGUAUGCAACUUGCCUAUCAGAGGGGGAUAACCCGGCGAAAGUCGGACUAAUACCGCAUGAAGCAGGGGCCCCGCAUGGGGAUAUUUGCUAAAGAUUCAUCGCUGAUAGAUAGGCAUGCGUUCCAUUAGGCAGUUGGCGGGGUAACGGCCCACCAAACCGACGAUGGAUAGGGGUUCUGAGAGGAAGGUCCCCCACAUUGGUACUGAGACACGGACCAAACUCCUACGGGAGGCAGCAGUGAGGAAUAUUGGUCAAUGGCCGAGAGGCUGAACCAGCCAAGUCGCGUGAGGGAUGAAGGUUCUAUGGAUCGUAAACCUCUUUUAUAAGGGAAUAAAGUGCGGGACGUGUCCCGUUUUGUAUGUACCUUAUGAAUAAGGAUCGGCUAACUCCGUGCCAGCAGCCGCGGUAAUACGGAGGAUCCGAGCGUUAUCCGGAUUUAUUGGGUUUAAAGGGAGCGUAGAUGGAUGUUUAAGUCAGUUGUGAAAGUUUGCGGCUCAACCGUAAAAUUGCAGUUGAUACUGGAUGUCUUGAGUGCAGUUGAGGCAGGCGGAAUUCGUGGUGUAGCGGUGAAAUGCUUAGAUAUCACGAAGAACUCCGAUUGCGAAGGCAGCUUACUAACCUGUAACUGACAUUGAUGCUCGAAAGUGUGGGUAUCAAACAGGAUUAGAUACCCUGGUAGUCCACACGGUAAACGAUGAAUACUCGCUGUUUGCGAUAUACAGCAAGCGGCCAAGCGAAAGCGUUAAGUAUUCCACCUGGGGAGUACGCCGGCAACGGUGAAACUCAAAGGAAUUGACGGGGGCCCGCACAAGCGGAGGAACAUGUGGUUUAA